CACACACCAAAGAAGGGGGUCGGCCUGGGGGUGGGCCACAUAGGCAGCUUCUUCAGCAGCCUCUUGGCAGCAGCCCCAGCCUUCCCAAAGCAGCAGUGCCCCCAGGCUGGGGCCCAACCUAGAAGGCAGGGGUUGAUUUAACAAAAACAUAACGUUGACUUUUUUUCCCCGGUGGGGCUUAUUCUGUAACAUGACUUGCGGAUAUUUAUAUAAAAAUGAGUGUUACAAUGAG
rnacentral:lncRNA from 1 species